GUUUAAUUUUGGUGAUUGCAACUGAUAAACUCAUAUAUUGAGUGUUGUCCAUCACCUCCUACCUUCGGAUGUUCUACUGGAAUGGAGUUAAAUAACAGCACAACAUCA
rfam:Ipomoea nil DNA, scaffold: scaffold1421, cultivar: Tokyo-kokei standard.